GACGAACGCUGGCGGCGUGCUUAACACAUGCAAGUCGAACGGAAAGGCCCUGCUUGCGGGGUACUCGAGUGGCGAACGGGUGGGUAACACGUGGGUGAUCUGCCCUGCACUUCGGGAUAAGCUUGGUAAACUGGGUCUAAUACCGGAUAGGAACCAUCUUUAGUGUGGUGGUUGGAAAGUUUUUUCGGUGUAGGAUGAGCUCGCGGCCUAUCGGCUUGUUGGUGGGGUAAUGGCCUACCAAGGCGGCGGCGGGUAGCCGGACUGAGAGGGUGUACGGCCACCCUGGCUCUGAGGGGCGGCCCCGGCACCGACGGGAGGGAGAUGGGGGGAAGAUUGCCGAAGGGGCGCCAGCCUGGUGCUGCGACGCCGCGUGGGGGAUGAAGGUCUUCGGGUUGAAAACUCCUUUCGCUAGGGACGAAGCUUUUUGUGACGGUACCUAGAUAGGAAGCACCGGCUAACUACGUG
rnacentral:rRNA from 1 species